rnacentral:rRNA from 1 species
GACGUAGGGCGCGAGCGUUGUCCGGAUUUAUUGGGCGUAAAGAGCUCGUAGGCGGCUUGUCGCGUCGACUGUGAAAUCCCGCGGCUCAACUGCGGGUCUGCAGUCGAUACGGGCAGGCUAGAGUUCGGUAGGGGAGACUGGAAUUCCUGGUGUAGCGGUGAAAUGCGCAGAUAUCAGGGGGAACACCGGUGGCGAAGGCGGGUCUCUGGGCCGAUACUGACGCUGAGGAGCGAAAGCGUGGGGAGCGAACAGG